rnacentral:lncRNA from 1 species
CCAUUUGUUCAACCCGUGUAUAACUCCCCCAAAUUGGAGAACCCAUUUUGCACGAGAACAACUCCGGCGUCUUCCGGUGGAAAUCAUAAAAACAAUGUGUUUUGUCUCAUUUAUCACACGUUGCCCGACCAUAUACCUUCAACUUCCAGUGUUGGAGAGGCGUGAAAAUUCUCGUUCCCUGAGUUCUUGAGCCCUAAAAACCUUGGACACCUUCUCCAAAGCCAUCGCCUCCAUUCAUAAUGGUGAGACAAAAUCGUCGGACUCAUCUCCACCUCUAAUCGGCUCGAAACAAGUGAAGAAUGUACUGCAUAAGCAUUACCCAAACAUACCUGUUGAGAUUUAAAGGAAGUGAGCCCUGUUGUUCACCUCCCCCCGUCGCGAAAACACCACCACAGUUCUCCUUCUUCGUCCAACGCCAAACCACCACUGAAGAACACAUCUCCGUCAAGUUUAUAAAGUUAAUGGGGGAAUUAAUUAUGUUAUAAAAAUUCAGACCUAGAUGAUAUAACAUAAUUAUUGAUUUGCAAUUGAAAUUUGUGUGAAUGGUCAUUUAUUUAGGAGGUGGAGUCGAUGAAUAACAAGCUUUUAGUCAAGAAUUUGCUUGUUUGGGAAUUCAAGCAAUGAGCCUGAAAAGGGGGGGAUGAGUUGGUGAGAUUAAUAGAAAGAGAUAUGCAUCUUAUUGCUCUGUUCUCUACUGCGGCAAAGUGUUUAGGAGGAGCUGUGGGGAUGGUUUUGGUUCUUUAGGAGGAUAUGCCUAAUACCUGUUGUAGGUGUUGUGAUUUUAAGUUUUGAAAACUUUAGCAUUGAACAUGAAUUAUUCUGGAUCUUCUUAGUUCGCGUAGUAUUGGCAUUUGUUUUAUGUGGUUGUUUUGCAUCUUAGAAAUGGGAGGAAGGAAUGCUGUAGGUGGUUGUACCAGGAGAAUCAAGUGGUGAAUCCUGCUGCCAAGGAGGACGUCGAAGAUUUAUCAAGCGUGUUUGAAACGCUAGCUCGAAUAAGUGAGAAAGGAGACGUUGAGAUUUUAUUAAAUGUGACAUUCCACAAGGAAAAAGGGAUUGACGAAGGGAAUUCGAAAGGAAAGGGGCUGGCUUGAUUAGUAGUGAGGAGGGGGAUUCUAAUAUUAUUGUAAUUUGUAUUUGAUAUUGGGAAGUGUGUGUAAACUUUGUUCCUUUUAUUAUGUUUGGCAUCAGUAUAUCUCAUUCUUGCCAUGGAGUUGAGCUCUGCAUUUUAUGUUGAGG